rnacentral:lncRNA from 1 species
AUCACGAAGUUUUCUCCUCCAUGUCCACAACAUGUCUUCCAUAUGCUUAGGCAACACCCAAUCCAAAUGUUGAGAAGUUAGAAUACCGUUCCACAACUACCAAACACCAUCACAAUGAAUGAACAAGUGGUUAAUCAUCUCCCCAUCCUUCUUACUCAUAUAAUACCACUCGGUAACAUAAAAAAAAUUUCUUCAAAAAUUAUCCACCAUUAAUGCCUCCCCUCACAACCGUCCACAAUAAAAAGCCACCAGUGGAGGUAAUUUACAUUGUCAAACCAUCUUCUAGGGGAAUGAACUUUUCAUAGGUCCCAAUAUGGAUCUAAAAUAAGUGCGAACUGAAAAAAUAUCAUCCCGUGCCAACCUCCAAUUGCUAUGAUCAUCUCUCCUACCCGAAUUGUGCACCUCAUGCAAGGAGGUCAAAAACAACACAUCAUCCAAUUCUCAAUUUUGUAAACCCCUCUCAAAAAAAUAUUCCAGCUAUAAUUUUCAUUGUGUAUGGCUAGUACAUCAUUCACCAUAUCAAAAGGCUCCAAAGCAGUGCAAUACAAAGAAGGAAACCAUACCUUUAGCAGUUGAUCUCCAAACCAACAAUCAUCCCAAAAUAUAAUAUUAUUACCAUUUCCCACCACAUAAGUCAAUUUAUCUUGAAAGUCACUCCAUCCUCAUCGGAUAUACCUCCACAAACUCACCUUAUAAGAUUCAAGACCAUCAACUGAGCACCAACCCCCUCCAUCAUACCAUACUUCGCUCAUAUGAUUUCUCUCCAAGAACUUUCCUUCUCCACACCAAAUCGCCACAGCCAGUUGCCCAAUAAAACCUUCUUAAACAGAAUAAGGCUCCUCAAUCUUAGGCCCCCAUCCUUAUAGGAGAACAUACCACACCUCAAUUAACCAAAUGAAAUUUUCUCUUUCCCCAACCCUACAUAAACAAACUCUCUUUGAAUCCUCUCUAAUUUAUUUGCCACUGUAACAGGAAUAAAAAACAAUAACAAAAAAUAAGGAGGGAGAUUGGAGAGAGUGUAUUUAAUAAGAGUAAGGCGGACUCUACUCGAAAGGUACAUACACUUUCAUCCCGCUAACCUCUUCU